ensembl:lncRNA
CUUAAGAUUCCAAAUCGAGGGCUAUUUGCACUUUACCAUUCUGCAUUCAUCAUCUGAUUUGUGCAUGUCUAGACUCUCCAACUUUGUUAUAAAUGUCAAAAGGACCAGGAAUGCACCUAACUCCAUGCUGGGUGCCCAGGAAGUGCCCAAUGAAUACCUGAUGAGCAGAAGGAUAUAAUAAUAGAAAAGGAAGAGUAUAAUAAGUGUAUGCUGAUGGAAGAGGCCAGUGGUUCUGUAGGCGGAAGAGAAGAGCAGCGCUACCCUUGUGCAUGGGAGAAACAUUAAGAUGAAGGAAACAGCUAAUGGAGCCAGACUGCCUGGAUCUGAAAUUGGUUCUGCCACCAGCUAUUUGGAAAUUGAAGAAUCCAACGGAAAGCAAGAUGAAAAGGGAAGGGUGUACCUAUUGAUCCCAGAUCCAGGGAGCCAUCAUUUGUCAGUAGACCUGCCUUCAGAUGUCCCAUAGGGUCUUCAGAGUUUACAGAACAACUUAAGAUCACUCCAAACCAGAGUCAGAGACAUCCCUGCCACGUAGCACAUAGAUUUAUAACUCGGUGCAAAGGUUUCUACAAAUACGAUUUCUUCACUCCAAAGUCCAUCUAUGCAUGCUCCCCAAAAUAAAGAACAGUGUAUUUCUGUCUGCUGGCCUCUAACUCCAGGACCCCGGGAGCAGGGGCAGGAGGAGUUCCAAAAAGGUCUUCUUAUAGCUCUGGCAAUAAUGACUAGCUCAUACAGGCUGGCACUGCUGUCGAGACAUCCAAGGACUUUUUUAUUUAUCACUCUCUUUUUUUUUCCAACUGAGAUGGAGUCCACACUGACACAAGCAGUCCAGAAAAAAGAAACUGUGUCUCUUGUAACUUUUACUUAGGUGGUGUAAAUGGGAAGAUCAUAACCCAAAGAUUUGGUGAAAAUACACUUCCUAUCCACACAAUCCGUUAUAAUGUUGCAAUUGAAAAGUUCUACUCAGAGAAAGAGAAUGAGUUCAAACAAACAAACAAAUAAAAAAACAGACAAGAUCUGGGAUUAGGUCUGAUGAUCUGGAACAUAAUAAACUUCUGAUUCCAUAUCUGGGAUCCGGGUUCAUAGUCUGGGACAUAAAUCUGAAUCUUCAGUGGCUGUAUUACCCUGCCCCCCACCGUCUCCUCCCAUGAAGAUAGGCAACAGUGAAGGUGCUUGAAUUCUUUCAGGCCCCGUGUGUGUCACUGAGCAAUUUUUUUCUUUAGCAUCUCACAUAAACACUGCUGAAAUAACAGAUAAACUUCACCUGGGUGCCUGACUAGGGGAGUGUAGUUCAAAUAUCUGAAGUCCACGUGACAAUGCCAUCUGAGGAAAACUUGACUUAAAGCCAAUGUAAUGAUACUAAACCCACUCUUCUGAGCAAUUUUGUAUAAGGCAUCCAUUUGAGAGCUCAGCCCAAAUACUAGUGGAACUCAGUAUUAUGUUACAAUCUGACUUACCACAACGUCUUGCAGCAGAGUCCAGGCAGGUAUGGUGCUAACCUUUGAAUCAUGUAAUCUGGGCAGGAGCCAACCGGCCUAUGGAACCCCUGAAAAUGGAAAACUACCCUCCAGAGAUGGGAAAGUGUGCGUGCCUUGGAAACUGUGAUAAGAGGCUCUUGGAAACUGACAACCACAUGAAUGCCUACAAUUUCUUCUCUAUUGAGAAGUUCACUGUCUAGGGGGGAUAGCACAUAAAAAAUAACAAUCAUAAAAAAAAUAAUUUAAGUGCUAUAUUAAAGGUAUGUUCAGGGUGCUGUCAGGACCCAGAAGAGGGACACCUCAUCCAGCCAGACAUAGAGGGCCAGGGAAGGCUGCCACUAUGUCUAGUUAUAAGAAAUUCAGAUACAGUUGGUGCAUCUUGCCUUGAAUGACACUUGUCUUCCAAAUAAAUCAAACUCUUCCCAGAACCCUCCCACAAGACUUAACUCUUCUCAUAAAAGCUCUAUGUAGUCAUUCACCUGCAUCCUCAGUGAAUGCAAGAAAGGCCGGAAACGUAUCCAUGUUCAGACACAGGCCAGUGCCAUUGCUUUUUAACCCAUGUCCACUGCCCUGUCUACUGAAUGAACUACUGAAUUAAUAUUCUUCCCUACAUGUUUUUCUUUAAAAAGCCUGUUCUUUCCUGUCUUCUAAUCUGAGCCCCUACUUCUCUUUACAUUAUUCUUAACACAUCUCUAUCUAACCACUUAGACAAACUGUUUAAUUUCAUAUGACAUUGUUUUUUCUGGAAGAUAAAGCAUACUUGCCUUAGAUAAUCUUUUUUGUUACGUUAUGCAAGAUUUUACUUCACUUGAUAUUUGCUAUUUUCCCUUCCUCAUCUUCUGCUUACUUCCAGGAGGUCUCCUGAAUAGUCUGUGCUCAAGCAGCAUCAGCCUGGAAGUUAUUUUCAGUAUUCAGUCUCACUUUAUAACUAAAAACCUAGAAAAAUUUUCAUUUCCUUUCAAGUUACCUGAGUUCAGUGAGCUGAGAAUUGGAGAAUGGGCUCUAUGUGGGGCUGCUUGGAGGCCUCAAGGCCCUGAAAGUGAAUGCCAUCUUCUAAUUGCCUGACAAAGCUGUUUAUCUUCCACAGCUUAGCACUUUACAUGCAGGACAGGGUCUGACCAGCCUGACUCAUGACAAAAUUAGGCUGCUUAUUAGAAACCUCUUAUCCUUUUAUCCUUUCUUAUUGGCAAUGUUCAUGUGUUCAUUAUGUCUCUGGACUAAAGAGGACAACGGAGCUCAGGAAUUACAAGGAUGGGCCCUUUCAAUUGCAGGCUGGGGUUAUGCCAAGAGUAUCCUCUGAAUGCAUUCACUGUCCUACAGUGGGUCUCUUAGAGUGCAAUGAUUUGUUGUUGAAUAAGGGCCAUACUCAAGGAUUUUCAGCCUGAAUUUGGACACAAUGCAGGGUCACUUCAAUUAUCUUCGAAAUGAGAAUGGUGGUAGCCAGUAAAGAGACUAUUUUGGAAUAUGAUAAUAACAUUAUCCAAAGUCACUUCUAGUUUGAAAGUAAAUAUUAUGAACCAAUUGAUAUGAUCAUGCAGAUUUUCUUGUUAGAUUUGCUAAUGUCGUGAAUUAUACCGACAGAAUUUUUAAUAGCUCUGUUGAGAUAUAACUCACAUACCAUACGAUUCACCCAAUUAAAACAGAAAUUCAAUAGUUUUUAGUAUAAUCACAGAGUUGCAUAGCCAACACCACAAUCUAAUUUUACAACAUUUUUAUUACACCAAAAAGAAAUCCUGUAUCCGUUAGCCAUCACCACCUUAUUUACCAUUUCACCUCAGCCCUCAGCAACCACUAAUCUAUUUCCUGUCUCUAUAGAUUUGCCUAUUAUAGACAUUUCAUACACAUGGAAUCAUAUAAUAUGUGGUCUUUUGUGACUGGCUUCUUACAUUUAGCACAAUGUUUUUAAGGUUCAUUCUGUUGUAUCAUGUAUCAAGGCUUCAUUCCUUCUUAUUGCCAAAGAAUAUUCCACUGUAUGGAUAUACCACAUUUUAUUCAUUCAUUCAUCAGUUAUUGGACAUUUGGAUUACUUCCACUUUUUGGCUAUUAUGAAUAAUGCAGCUGUGCACUAGACUGCUUUAAUUCUGAUAACCUGGAUAUCAUGAGUAGUAAAAAAAAUUAUUUCCUGGACAACACUUCGAAAGCAAAAUUGCAAGUAAAUUUUCCAUUAAUCAUAACAUCCUAAGAUUUUUUUCUGAUUCAGACAAAGUGGUAGGUAGAUUCGCUAUUCUUGUAAAUUAUUUCUACAUAGCAUGUCUCAGAAGCACUUAGGGAGAAAUGGUAUAGAUUUCACCAUUUAGCGUCUGAUCUGAAUCUUAUAAAUCUGGGCUGUCCAAUGUGAUGGCCAUUCAUUAUACGUGGUGUUUACAAUUAAAUUACUUAAAAUAAAAUACUUAAAAUUCAGGUUCUCAGUUGUACUAGCCACAUUUCAAGUGCUCAAUAGCCACAUGUGGUUUGUGGCUAUUGUAUCGGAUGUUUCCUUCAUUGCAGAAAGUUCUAUCAGACAGAUUUGUUCUAAAGCAGAGGUUCUCAUAUGGUGGUGACUUAACCCCCCAGAGAAAUGUGGCAACGUUUGGAGACAUUUUGUUUUUUACAACUUGGGGAAGGGAAGAGACUACUGGUAUCUAGUGGACAGAGGCCAGGAAUGCUGCUAAACAUCACAUAAUGUACCAGACAGCCUCCACAAUAAUUAGCCAUCCAAAAAUGUCAAUAGUGCCAAGGUUGAGAAACCCUGUUCUAAAGCAAUGAUGUCCAAACUUGGCUAGCUUUUUAUCAAAAAAUCAAAAGAAUCACCUGGUCAGCUUUUUAAAAAUCCAUAUGCCUGAGUCCCACCCCUAAGUUUCUGAUUAAAGAAGUACAAAGAGAAUCCAGGGAUUUGUGUUGUUCAAAAGCUUUCCAAGUGAAUCUUCUGAUUGGCCACAUUCAAGAACUUUUGUGUGAAAGUAGACUGACUCUCAGCUCUUAAUUCAGAAGAAAAUCACCUGGUAAACAUUAGCAGUACUCCCAGACUAGAUUAAUGGCUCCAAGGCCAUUACCUCUUCUGUUUAAUUUCUCCAAUUACCUAUCUCUCAAUUAAUGGGGUCAUUAAGCACUUAAGACUUGCAUUAAUUUCCCUCCUCUUUUUUUUAAUUCUUUCAUUCUGCGUAAAUCCAGUUUGCAAAUGAUUACAUCUUGUUAAUCAUUGUACACUUUCUGUUUACAAACAGAACAAAUGACCUAGAAAAUGUUUGGCAGCUGUCUUUGUUCACUGGCGUUUAAUGGAAAAUAGCUAAGCAAACCGUGCGCUAGCCCUGUAGGUGGCACGGCAUGACGUAUUAUUGUCCAUUCCUUUGCUACCGACUAACUUAAUGUAUGACAGUGAAAUUCAUUUUAAAUGGUUUGACGUUGUGUACUUUAAGAUCAAUAUAAUUCUGCUGAACUUAGAAAAGUGUAAAACUAAAUUAAUUUUAGCUUUAAGACAUUUUUUUCAAUUUUCUACCAUUCUGUAACAAAUUACAAAAGGAAACAGUUCCUGCCCUUUAGAAACUUAAAAGGUAAUAAUGGCAAAUAAGACAUAAACACAAGUAUUUAUAAGAAAAGAUGUUAAAUAUUCUAAGAGGAUACAAAUUUCAGAGGAAGAGAUCCUUCUGGUUGGAGAGAUCUGGGAAAUUUUCACAGAAGUAGCAGCAUCUUUAGCUUUCCUUUCUCUCAUUCAAUAAAUAUUUGCUGGUGCCUACCCCAUGCUACGUCCACCAUUUUAGGAGCUGGGGAUAAGUAGGCAUAGCCAUCCCUCUAUUCAUGGAAUUUCAUUUCCUGGAGACUAAUUAGUCAGCCAAAAAUUAUUUAUCACAUGCCUACUGUGAGCCAAGCAUACAGACUGGCAAUGAUGAUUCAAAAUAAUCAGUGUUAAGAUAUGGGAAGGACAUGGUCCCUUUAAUUACUGGCUGGAUUUUUAUCUCAUGAAUCCGCCUUUCUAAGCACAGACAUUUCUCUGACCUCAUUUGCAAGGCCAGGGUCAUAGAGCACUCACUCACACUUAGCAGUAAUUUAAUCAUGACAUUGAAUUUAGCAGCCACUGUUUAGUAACAUGUUGCAAUCACCCAGUGGAUCGCUAGUGUUAACUCUGGCAUCCUGCAAGGAAUCAGAAAGGACUGCAACUAAGAACCCCCUGACAGGAUACUCAGUUUGUUAAUACCUCUGAGGAAGGUUUCUGAUAGAACUAAUGAGUAUUGACUCUUGUCUGUAAAUCUGAUAGUCUAUUGUGAGAUUAUUCAGGAAUAUGAUCACUAUACGGUGCACUUUGUCAUGUGAAGUUGAUAGCAUAGUUGGCUUUAUUCAACCUCAAAAUAAUUUUAAAUUACAAAACAUUUUGAAUGUACCAAAAGUACAGAAAAUGACAGACACCUACAUGUACUCGCCAUAAUGCCUAAAAGAUAAUAACAUUUUGCUUUUUUUGCCUUCAGUUCUGUCUCUUUGUCAUUUUCUCUGGGACACAAUGAAAUGAAAUAUUAAAGAUACAGCUAUAAAGUCCCCUUUGCACCACCCACCCCUCCAAUUCCUUCAGACUUCCUUCCUCCCAGAGGAAACCAAUAUCUUGAAAUUGUUUAACUGGCAUUCUAAUUCUCAUGUAUUAAACGAG